UGUCGGGGAAGGGUGAGAACCUUCGAUUAAGGUUCGACUCGAGCGAAAGCGAGAGAACGUUGCCAACGGCAACGGCCCGUAGGGUGAGGAGCGAAGCGACGAAUAAUCCUUCCCCCACCACCA
rnacentral:sRNA from 1 species